rnacentral:rRNA from 1 species
UACGUAGGGUGCGAGCGUUAAUCGGAAUUACUGGGCGUAAAGAGUGCGUAGGCGGUUCGUUAAGUCAGCUGUGAAAGCCCCGGGCUCAACCUGGGAACUGCGGUUGAAACUGGCGAACUAGAAUCUGGCAGAGGGGGGGUGGAAUUCCACGUGUAGCAGUGAAAUGCGUAGAGAUGUGGAGGAACACCGAUGGCGAAGGCAGCCCCCUGGCGUGAGAUUGACGCUCAGGCACGAAAGCGUGGGGAGCAAACAGGA